UUCUUGUUGCUGUAAAAGGUAUUGAUGAUGAGGAAGAGCAAUUGGUUGAUCUUGGCCUGGAAAGCUGAAAUUUCUACGUCUACUAUCAAGUUUUAGGAAACAUAUUUACACACAAAUAAAGGAAAAUAACUCUUUUUUCUUGAAUAUCAAAUUUUCAUCUUUAAAAGAGUCGAUGACUAUUUAUGUUGUAUUUGUAACAUCUCAACCCUGUAUCUUCUGAGAUAACCGGGAAUUAGGCAUGUUAAAUCGGUCAUCUAACCGCUUUUGGUCAGAUGCCAAAUUGUUCUAUUGGAACAGCAGGAAUGCCAAGAUCGAAAACGCCCGUAUAGCAACAAUAACAUUAAAUAUUAGAUCUAGUGUUAACCUGAAAGAGAAAAGAAGGGUUGAGUAAUUGAAUUACCCAGUGAGGUGAACCAUAGGAGGCCCAAUAUCACUUUCAACAAAAUAUGAAUUAAAGAUUAGGAAAGUUUAAUCCUAAAACAAGCUCAAACAGGAUUCAUUCAUAUAACUCUAAAUUAAAUAACUAACAAGAAAGCAUUCAACCAGUUUACUAAGUCUUUUUCCGUCAAUUCACUUUGUCGACUCAUCAUCAUGCUAACGAGGCACGGAAAACCACAUCCUACUGACAAAAUAGGGAAAACCACAUCAUGCUAACGAGGCAUAGAAAACUACAUCACUGACGAGGCAUGAUGAACCACCAUAUGUUCUUUAUUUCAGUUCUUCAAUUCAAAUACUUAAAUUCCCAAACAAGAGCAAAACGCUCUGCAGAGGAUGGAAUCCGAUCUAGCCUUCAUGUCUGGAUAGGGGGAUCGACUUGCCAUCCGUGAUAUGCUGACUCACAUAUGUCAUUUAUUUAGUCAUACAGACCUUGCAGAUCGCCUUAACCGCCAAGCAACGGUCACUGCUGGCCUUUUUGGCACCACACAGUUACCCCAGCAAGUAAUCUCUUACCACAGGAAAAUCCUGUGACGAUUACUUUACUCGAUCUAAUUCAAGUAAGACCGUUUGUUAAUCCCUAUCAAACAAACUUCCAUGUUCAAGACUCCAAACAAGACCAAACAUCUUAUGACAUCAACAUCAAUCAAUAAUUCUUUUCUUUAUCACUUUCCAACCCAAUUCUAGCAACCUAACUCAUCACAUAACAUCAACCAUAUCUCACAUCAUCAUCAUUAAUCAAUAUCAUCACAUCAGAUCAUACACAGUCAAUCCUAAAACACAACUAACAGUCAUAGUUUAAGAAAAGACUAAUCUACACCCUAACUCAUAUAAUGCAGGAGUUGGAUAAGAAAUGACUCUCACCUUUUCCUUUCUGAAUGUAGAUACAUUUUUCCACAUUUAUUCAUCUUCAAGCAGAUUUGACUCUUGACACAGAAACGUCUGUAACUCCUAACACCGAUCUCCGAUCUGCAUGAACUCGGUCUUCACAUAAAGCUGAGACUCGAGGCUUCAAUUUGAUAUGUAGAUACUCGUGUGGAUCUUCACGGUUCGCUAGAUAAUGGUCUUGAAAGUCAGUAGAGCGAAAAGGAGAGGAGGAGGCCGAGAUGGAAGAGAGAAGAAGAGAGAGGAAGAGAGGAGACACCGAGGAAGGAGGAUGGAGAGAGAGAGGGAGAGGGAGGUGUGGCAAGGAGAGGAGCAGCAGCGCGGCAUGGAGAGAAGAAGAAGAGAAGUCGCAGGGAGAGAUGGCCAGAUGGGAGGCUGAUGUCGUGAAAAGAAAGAGAAAAAUACGAUUUUCUGGAGAAAAGUGGGUUUAUAUA
rnacentral:lncRNA from 1 species